CCUGGGCCUCUGCAAACAAUAUUUAACCUACAUGCAGAUGAGAUUGGUGAACACAGUUACUCAUGUGCACUUGAGAGGUCAUUCUUGUAUCAUGGGCGCAUGUAUGUAUCUGCGUGGCACAUAUGCUUCCAUUCUAAUGUUUUCUCCAAGCAAAUGAAGGUGAUUGUACCUUUGGGAGAUAUAGAUGAGAUACGUAGAAGUCAGCAUGCAUUCAUUAAUCCGGCCAUAACUAUUGUUCUGCGGAUGGGUGCGGGUGGGCAUGGUGUGCCUCCAUUAGGAAG
rnacentral:misc_RNA from 1 species